CAAGCGACUUAGGGUCUUCAGAUUCUGGUAGCCAGUCA
rnacentral:lncRNA from 1 species